rnacentral:rRNA from 1 species
AGAGUUUGAUCAUGGCUCAGGAUGAACGCUAGCGGCAGGCCUAACACAUGCAAGUCGAGGGGUAACAUAGGAAAGCUUGCUUUUCUGAUGACGACCGGCGCACGGGUGCGUAACGCGUAUACAACCUACCUUUUAGCGGGGAAUAGCCCAGGGAAACUUGGAUUAAUGCCCCAUAGUAUGGAGAUCUCUCCUGAGAUUUUCAUUAAACAUUUAUGGCUAUUAGAUGGGUAUGCGUCCUAUUAGUUAGUUGGUAAGGUAACGGCUUACCAAGGCAGCGAUAGGUAGGGGUCCUGAGAGGGAGAUCCCCCACACUGGUACUGAGACACGGACCAGACUCCUACGGGAGGCAGCAGUGAGGAAUAUUGGACAAUGGGCGAGAGCCUGAUCCAGCCAUGCCGCGUGCAGGAAGACUGCCCUAUGGGUUGUAAACUGCUUUUACAGAGGAAGAACCACUCCCACGUGUGGGAGUUUGACGGUACUCUGCGAAUAAGGAUCGGCUAACUCCGUGCCAGCAGCCGCGGUAAUACGGAGGAUCCAAGCGUUAUCCGGAAUCAUUGGGUUUAAAGGGUCCGUAGGCGGGCAGUUAAGUCAGUGGUGAAAGUCUUCCGCUCAACGGGAGAACUGCCAUUGAUACUGAUUGUCUUGAGUUAUUAUGAAGUGGUUAGAAUGAGUAGUGUAGCGGUGAAAUGCAUAGAUAUUACUCAGAAUACCGAUUGCGAAGGCAGAUCACUAAUAAUAUACUGACGCUGAUGGACGAAAGCGUAGGUAGCGAACAGGAUUAGAUACCCUGGUAGUCUACGCCGUAAACGAUGGUUACUAGCUGUUCGGCCCGAUUAAGGGCUGAGUGGUUAAGCGAAAGUGAUAAGUAACCCACCUGGGGAGUACGUUCGCAAGAAUGAAACUCAAAGGAAUUGACAGG